GGAAAUUAGAACCUUAUUAACAGUGACAAUAUGGUUCUCAGGACAAACACAUAGAGCCCAUCUUCACUUCAUAAGGGAAGCUUUAGAAGGUGCCGAAGAGCGAUAAAAGAAAGAGAGAAGACAGAAACAUGGACCUAAGAGCUGUUUGGACACAGAAGGAAGAACCCUGAUGAUCCAGCAUUCUUUGUCUUUUCAUUUCCAAAAGGGAUUAUCUGGUCAGUGAAAUCUUUAUAAAGCAUUUACAAUAGUGCAGAAUUUUGUGUGGCAGUUUAAGUAAGUGUGCACCCUAUGAGAAGUCAAGGAAGGUCUUGAUGUGACGCAGGCAGAAACUCCCUAAAAGAUUCAGCGCAUGGACUCAGGAGAGGGCAGCCAGAGAUGGCCGUGAGAAUACUAAAGAAGAAAAAUUACAUGAUUGUGAAGAAAACUACAUAUAUCUAGAAUGUAUAAAGAACUCUCAGAACUCAACAAUAAGAAAACCAGUAAUUCAGUUUAAAACUGGUCAAAAGAUUUAAAUGGAUGCUUUAUUAAAGAAGAUAUUUGGAUAGUAAAUAAGCAUAUGAGAAGAGGCUGAACAUAGUCAGUGGGAAAAUGCAAAUUAAAACCACAAAGACUUCAGAAAGCUGGAUCUUGAAAGAUGAGCUGAAGUAAGCAAAGAAGAAUAAAAAGGGGUGCAGAGGGUGGAAGUUGCUCAAAUGGCUGGGACACCUGUGCUAUGAAUGGGGAGAUGUUGCCAGAGACAG